rnacentral:tRNA from 8 species
GAUGAGGUGGCUGAGUGUGGUAAAGCAACAGUUUGCUAAACUGUCGGGGCUAGUAGGCCCUGCAUGGGUUCAAAUCCCAUUCUCAUCG